AUUACAAAAAAGAAAAAAGAAAAAAUAAUAAGAGCCGUCCAAAAUAGCCAUCGAAAGUCUGAAUUUAUUUUUUUUCCUGGUCGGGGUUGGUUGCAUAUUGAGGGAUUUACAGUAAAUUCCCUAGUAUAGGCAAGAUGGAAUUGAAUUCGCGGUGGUUCGAAUGAUUUGGUUGAAUUUUGGGGGGAAACCCUCCAAAAUAGUCAUUCAAGUUCAAUUUUUUUCCCUUAUUGGGUUGGGGGCGCGGUUUGUAUAUUGAGGGACUUACAAUAAAUUCUCUAUCAUGCUAUAGCAAGACGGAAUUGAAUUUGUGGGUUUGAAUAAUUUGAUUGAAUUUUGGGAAUUUGAGUUUGAUAAUACCCUUUACAUUUUAUGGAUUCCAUGUAGAAAUUCUUGAAUUCUGCACUAGAAUUGGUGGGCUGGGAAUUUACAAUGCAUUUUACAGAUUCUAUGUUUAUUGUAAACUAUAGCAAGAUGAAAUAUUUGUGGGUUGGAGGAAUUUGCUUGAAUUUUGUGAAUUUAAAUUUGAUGAUACACCUAAUAUUUUAGGGUUAUUUGAUUAAAAGGAAGAUUGAAAAAUGCAAAUUUGUAAGAAUGUCCUCCAUCUUUUAAAAACAUGAAAUAUAGUCUCUUUUGGAAAAAACUACCCUUCAAAUUUUUUUUAAUCCCUAUUUCACACAUCAAUCACUUUUUGGAUGAAGAGUUAAAAGGUAAAAAUGUCAAAACAAGGUUAUAUAUGUAUAUAUAUGCAAUUUUCAAUAUAUUGAAGUUGUUUUUCCAAAUACGGGUGUUAUUUCAUCCUUUAUAAUCAAAUAUUUCUAUAUUUUAUGGAUUCCCCAUGAAAAGAUUCUCGAACACUGCAAUAGAAUGUGUAUUUAGCGGAAAAAAUGUGAUCGGAUUGGUGAGAAAAUGGUUUUUGGAGCAAUACUUAGGUUUGAAUGUGUAGAGGAACCUCCUAUCCCCAAUAAAUGGCAGAAGUUGAUUCAAUAGUUUAGGGUAUCUAAAAUAAAGUUUGGGUAACUGUUUCUGCAUAAUGGGGUGCGAAGAGGUUUCUUGAUGGUGGCGCUUCUGUAAGUGCUGCAGUGUGUAUGGCAUUUUUCUUGUGUAUCAAGAGUGCAGCUUGAGUUUGUUGGCAUUAAUAUUGCCAGAGUCCUGUGAGGAUGAUAAUGUAAUUUCCCUUGCAUUUAUAUAUCAUUUCUGGGAUGAUAUCUAACCUGUAUCGUCUAGAAAUAUGGCUCUAAUGUUUUUAUUUAUAGAACCACUCCUAAAAAUGAUUUAGAAGCCUGUUGGUGCUAAAAUGCUUAUUUGUUAUGACUUGGAUGGACUGAAAAUUAUUUUCAAACAAAGUUUUCAAAAGCAUUUCUGAGGCAUGCUUCAAGGUGUGCACUGAGGUGUUAGAAAAAUUGCAAGACUCCCAAAAGGUGUAUGCCUUUGGGGUUGAAGCUCAUCUCAGACAUGCUUUUGGUGUGCCUUUUGCACACUGUUGCAUGAGGUGUAAGCUGAAGAUUCUCCUUGCUGAGGUGGCUUGGAAAAAAUAAAAGGAAAAAAAAACUAUCUUUAACCCCAAAGAUCCCACAGAAGGUGAAAUCAAAGAGACAUUAAAAAAAACCUUAACCCUUGGUCUUGCUGUCACUGCAAUACCUCACUAUUGCCAGUGUUGCUGUCACCACCACCAUCUCUGGCCAUUCUUAACAAUGUCAAUGGCUUCUCACCUUCGUUCUAGUGUUGGUAGCUUCUCUCCCUCUCCCUCUUGUCUAUUGCCAGUGUUGCUGUCACCACCACCAUCUCUGGCCACUCUCAACAAUGUCGACAGCUUCUCACCUUUGUUCUAGUGUCGGUAACUUCUCGCCCUCUCCGUCUUGUUGUGCUCCAUCAUGCCUGCUAAGUCUUCUCUCAUCCCCUCUCUCCCGUAACUUUCUUUCCCCUCUCCUUUAUUUUAACUUUUAUCUCGUCUCCCACCCUCCUUUUUUAUUUUAUUUUUUCUAUUUUUACUUUUUUCCUUUUAUUUUUAUUGUCUAUUUUCCUUCCUAAAUAGAUUCUCACCCUACCGUUUUUCUUAACAUUUAUUUUUCUUUUUUACAGGACAAGGUUUCUUAGCCUAUUUUUUCCUUUUUAUGUGGCAAAAUUUCCAAAGUAAAUAAAAUUUAUUAAUUUAUCUUUCACUAGAUAUUUGUUUUAGUGUUGGAUAUUUGUGUUGAUCUUAAUAAAAUUUAUUACAUAUCAGUAUUUAAUUUUGAAAUUAUUCAUUAACAAAGGGACCUAAAGAAUUUCAAUUCCAUUAUCCCAAUUUAGUUAUUAUUUUUCCAAAUAGAAAAAAAAA
rnacentral:lncRNA from 1 species